rnacentral:rRNA from 1 species
AAAUUGCAGUUGAUACUGUCAGUCUUGAGUACAGUAGAGGUGGGCGGAAUUCGUGGUGUAGCGGUGAAAUGCUUAGAUAUCACGAAGAACUCCGAUUGCGAAGGCAGCUCACUGGACUGCAACUGACACUGAUGCUCGAAAGUGUGGGUAUCAAACAGGAUUAGAUACCCUGGUAGUCCACACAGUAAACGAUGAAUACUCGCUGUUUGCGAUAUACAGUAAGCGGCCAAGCGAAAGCAUUAAGUAUUCCACCUGGGGAGUACGCCGGCAACGGUGAAACUCAAAGGAAUUGACGGGGGCCCGCACAAGCGGAGGAACAUGUGGUUUAAUUCGAUGAUACGCGAGGAACCUUACCCGGGCUUAAAUUGCAGUGGAAUGAUGUGGAAACAUGUCAGUGAGCAAUCACCGCUGUGAAGGUGCUGCAUGGUUGUCGUCAGCUCGUGCCGUGAGGUGUCGGCUUAAGUGCCAUAACGAGCGCAACCCUUAUCUUCAGUUACUAACAGGUCAUGCUGAGGACUCUGGAGAGACUGCCGUCGUAAGAUGUGAGGAAGGUGGGGAUGACGUCAAAUCAGCACGGCCCUUACGUCCGGGGCUACACACGUGUUACAAUGGGGGGUACAGAAGGCAGCUAGCGGGUGACCGUAUGCUAAUCCCAAAAUCCUCUCUCAGUUCGGAUCGAAGUCUGCAACCCGACUUCGUGAAGCUGGAUUCGCUAGUAAUCGCGCAUCAGCCACGGCGCGGUGAAUACGUUCCCGGGCCUUGUACACACCGCCCGUCAAGCCAUGGGAGCCGGGGGUACCUGAAGUACGUAACCGCAAGGAUCGUCCUAGGGUAAAACUGGUGACUGGGGCUAAGUCGUAACAAGGUAACC